AUCCAGCUAACGAGUCCAAAACAGGACGAAACGCGCGUCCUGGAU
rnacentral:hammerhead_ribozyme from 1 species